rnacentral:tRNA from 2 species
GCAGUCGUACCGAGUGGUUAAGGCGAUGGACUAAAAAUCCAUUGGGGUCUCCCCGCACAGGUUCGAAUCCUGUCGACUGCG